AGAGUUUGAUCAUGGCUCAGAUUGAACGCUGGCGGCAGGCCUAACACAUGCAAGUCGAACGGUAACAGGGAGCAGCUUGCUGCUUCGCUGACGAGUGGCGGACGGGUGAGUAAUGUCUGGGAAACUGCCUGAUGGAGGGGGAUAACUACUGGAAACGGUAGCUAAUACCGCAUAACGUCGCAAGACCAAAGAGGGGGACCUUCGGGCCUCUUGCCAUCAGAUGUGCCCAGAUGGGAUUAGCUUGUUGGUGGGGUAACGGCUCACCAAGGCGACGAUCCCUAGCUGGUCUGAGAGGAUGACCAGCCACACUGGAACUGAGACACGGUCCAGACUCCUACGGGAGGCAGCAGUGGGGAAUAUUGCACAAUGGGCGCAAGCCUGAUGCAGCCAUGCCGCGUGUAUGAAGAAGGCCUUCGGGUUGUAAAGUACUUUCAGCGGGGAGGAAGGUGUUGUGGUUAAUAACCGCAGCAAUUGACGUUACCCGCAGAAGAAGCACCGGCUAACUCCGUGCCAGCAGCCGCGGUAAUACGGAGGGUGCAAGCGUUAAUCGGAAUUACUGGGCGUAAAGCGCACGCAGGCGGUCUGUUAAGUCAGAUGUGAAAUCCCCGGGCUCAACCUGGGAACUGCAUCUGAUACUGGCAGGCUUGAGUCUCGUAGAGGGGGGUAGAAUUCCAGGUGUAGCGGUGAAAUGCGUAGAGAUCUGGAGGAAUACCGGUGGCGAAGGCGGCCCCCUGGACGAAGACUGACGCUCAGGUGCGAAAGCGUGGGGAGCAAACAGGAUUAGAUACCCUGGUAGUCCACGCCGUAAACGAUGUCGACUUGGAGGUUGUGCCCUUGAGGCGUGGCUUCCGGAGCUAACGCGUUAAGUCGACCGCCUGGGGAGUACGGCCGCAAGGUUAAAACUCAAAUGAAUUGACGGGGGCCCGCACAAGCGGUGGAGCAUGUGGUUUAAUUCGAUGCAACGCGAAGAACCUUACCUGGUCUUGACAUCCACGGAAGUUUUCAGAGAUGAGAAUGUGCCUUCGGGAACCGUGAGACAGGUGCUGCAUGGCUGUCGUCAGCUCGUGUUGUGAAAUGUUGGGUUAAGUCCCGCAACGAGCGCAACCCUUAUCCUUUGUUGCCAGCGGUCCGGCCGGGAACUCAAAGGAGACUGCCAGUGAUAAACUGGAGGAAGGUGGGGAUGACGUCAAGUCAUCAUGGCCCUUACGACCAGGGCUACACACGUGCUACAAUGGCAUAUACAAAGAGAAGCGACCUCGCGAGAGCAAGCGGACCUCAUAAAGUAUGUCGUAGUCCGGAUUGGAGUCUGCAACUCGACUCCAUGAAGUCGGAAUCGCUAGUAAUCGUGGAUCAGAAUGCCACGGUGAAUACGUUCCCGGGCCUUGUACACACCGCCCGUCACACCAUGGGAGUGGGUUGCAAAAGAAGUAGGUAGCUUAACCUUCGGGAGGGCGCUUACCACUUUGUGAUUCAUGACUGGGGUGAAGUCGUAACAAGGUAACCGUAGGGGAACCUGCGGUUGGAUCACCU
rnacentral:rRNA from 1 species